GCUGAUGUAACACAAAGAGUACUGAACUGAGAGUCCAGAGGCCUGGGUUCAAGUCCCAGGACCACCA
rnacentral:tRNA from 1 species